AGUAAAGUCAGCUAAUUAAGCUCUUGGGCCCAUACCCCAAAAAUGUCGGUUUAAAUCCCUCCUAUACUA
rnacentral:tRNA from 1 species